rnacentral:rRNA from 1 species
GACGAACGCUGGCGGCGUGCUUAACACAUGCAAGUCGAACGGAAAGGCCCUGCUUUUGUGGGGUGCUCGAGUGGCGAACGGGUGAGUAACACGUGAGUAACCUGCCCUUGACUUUGGGAUAACUUCAGGAAACUGGGGCUAAUACCGGAUAGGAGCUCCUGCUGCAUGGUGGGGGUUGGAAAGUUUCGGCGGUUGGGGAUGGACUCGCGGCUUAUGAGCUUGUUGGUGGGGUAGUGGCUUACCAAGGCUUUGACGGGUAGCCGGCCUGAGAGGGUGACCGGCCACAAUGGGACUGAGAUACGGCCCAGACUCCUACGGGAGGCAGCAGUGGGGAAUAUUGCACAAUGGGCGGAAGCCUGAUGCAGCAACGCCGCGUGCGGGAUGACGGCCUUCGGGUUGUAAACCGCUUUCGCCUGUGACGAAGCGUGAGUGACGGUAAUGGGUAAAGAAGCACCGGCUAACUACGUG